rnacentral:rRNA from 1 species
UACGUAGGGUGCGAGCGUUAAUCGGAAUUACUGGGCGUAAAGCGUGCGCAGGCGGUAAGUUAAGUCUGAUGUGAAAGCCCCGGGCUCCAACCUGGGAAUGGCAUUGGAAACUGGCUUGCUGGAGUGUGGCAGAGGGGGGUGGAAUUCCGCGUGUAGCAGUGAAAUGCGUAGAGAUGUGGAGGAACACCGAUGGCGAAGGCAGCCCCCUGGGCUAACACUGACGCCUCAUGCACGAAAGCGUGGGGAGCAAACA